rnacentral:rRNA from 1 species
GACGAACGCUGGCGGCGUGCUUAACACAUGCCAGUCGAACGGAAAGGCCCUGCUUGUGUGCUGUGCUCGAGUGGCGAACGGGUGCGUAACCCGUGAGUAACCUGCCCUUGACUUUGGGAUAACUUCAGGAAACUGGGGCUAAUACCGGAUCGGAGCUCCUGCUGCAUGGGGGGGGUUGGGAAGAUUCGGCGGUUGGGGAUGGACUCGCGGCUUAGCAGCUUGUUGGUGGGGUAGUGGCUUACCAAGGGCUUGACGGGUAGCCGGCCUGAGAGGGGGACCGGCCACAUUGGGACUGAGAUACGGCCGAGACUCCUACGGGAGGCAGCAGUGGGGAAUAUUGCACAAUGGGCGGAAGCCUGAUGCAGCAACGCCGCGUGCGGGAUGACGGCCUGCGGGUUGUAAACCGCUUUCGCCUGUGACGAAGCGUGAGUGACGGUAAUGGGUAAAGAAGCACCGGCUAACUACGUG